rnacentral:rRNA from 1 species
UAGCGGAAUGUAGUAUGUAGCGGUGAAAUGCAUAGAUAUACUACAGAACACCCAUUGCGAAGGCAGCUUACCAAACCAGCACUGACGCUCAGGCACGAAAGCGUGGGGAGCAAACAGGAUUAGAUACCCUGGUAGUCCACGCCGUAAACGUUGAUCACUCGUUGUUGGCAAUACACCGUCAGCGACUAAGCAAAAGCAUUAAGUGAUCCACCUGGGGAGUACGAUCGCAAGGUUGAAACUCAAAGGAAUUGACGGGGGCCCGCACAAGCGGAGGAGCAUGUGGUUUAAUUCGAUGAUACGCGAGGAACCUUACCCGGGCUUAAAUGUAGGGUGCAUUGGUGUGAAAACACCAUUUCCUUCGGGACUCCCUACAAGGUGCUGCAUGGUUGUCGUCAGCUCGUGCCGUGAGGUGGCGGGUUAAGUCCCGUAACGAGCGCAACCCCUAUCUUUAGUUGCCAGCAGGUAAAGCUGGGGACUCUAAAGAAACUGCCCGCGCAAGCGGUGAGGAAGGUGGGGAUGACGUCAAAUCAGCACGGCCCUUAUGUCCGGGGCUACACACGUGCUACAAUGGCCGGUACAGUGGGCAGCUCAUGCGCGAGCAUUUGCUAAUCUCUAAAACCGGUCUCAGUCCGGAUCGGAGUCUGCAACCCGACUCCGUGAAGCUGGAUUCGCUAGUAAUCGCACAUCAGCCAUGGUGCGG